GUGCCCGAGUUGUAAUUUGGAGAGGGCAACUUUGGGGCCGUUCCUUGUCUAUGUUCCUUGGAACAGGACGUCAUAGAGGGUGAGAAUCCCGUGUGGCGAGGAGUGCGGUUCUUUGUAAAGUGCCUUCGAAGAGUCGAGUUGUUUGGGAAUGCAGCUCUAAGUGGGUGGUAAAUUCCAUCUAAAGCUAAAUAUUGGCGAGAGACCGAUAGCGAACAAGUACAGUGAUGGAAAGAUGAAAAGAACUUUGAAAAGAGAGUGAAAAAGUACGUGAAAUUGUUGAAAGGGAAGGGCAUUUGAUCAGACAUGGUGUUUUGUGCCCUCUGCUCCUUGUGGGUAGGGGAAUCUCGCAUUUCACUGGGCCAGCAUCAGUUUUGGUGGCAGGAUAAAUCCAUAGGAAUGUAGCUUGCCUCGGUAAGUAUUAUAGCCUGUGGGAAUACUGCCAGCUGGGACUGAGGACUGCGACGUAAGUCAAGGAUGCUGGCAUAAUGGUUAUAUGCCGCC
rnacentral:rRNA from 1 species